AAGGGAGACCUAAUUCAGGUAGGAGACGAAAAAAAAGUAGUCGCAACCAAGAAUCAAUCCCAAAAGGUCGGAGCGAGGCGAAAUUGGCUUUCAAACUAGGUUCUGGGUUCACACAAGACCUGAAUCAGGAACAAGGGCUAUUAGCUCAGGUGGUUAGAGCGCACCCCUGAUAAGGGUGAGGUCCCUGGUUCGAGUCCAGGAUGGCCCACCUGCACAGGUGGCAAAAACAAGAGAAGCGAGGAAUCAGCACCUUAUCUUAUCUAUAUAUAUAUAGGAGAGAAUGCUGGCUCUGAGUAAAGAGUCCAGAGGAACCUUGAAAACUGCAUAGAGCUAGGUGAAAAAGCCAAAAAAGAAGACCGCAAGGUCAAGCUAAUAAGGGCUAACGGUGGAUACCUAGGCAC
rnacentral:tRNA from 1 species